AUCCUUACUCUCUCAGUCAGGCUUAUGUGUGUGUCCAUUUAGAGCAGUGAUGUUACUGUGGCCAGACAAGAGGACACGUCUUCAAAGAGAGGAAGUGCAAAUACUCAUGGAAAGAAAAUCAUCACAGGCAACAUUGUGUCUCCCUGGGCCAAGAAGGAGGACAGGGUCUUCAGUCUUUUUGAAGAUGAUGGACCAGGUGAUGCACUUCUUGUCUGGAGUGGUUGAAAGUCCACAGACAGAUAAGAAGUCUGCCGAUCCUGUGGCUUCAAUCAUACAGAGCUGUACUCUCCAUCUCCCUGGACAAAGACAAAGACAUGGACACAUGUGGAACUGAGUUUGACUCCAGCGAGAUAACCGCUUCAGAGCCACAUGUCCAAGGAAGCAAGGCUCAAACUGGAAAGCCUUAGCGAGUGAGGACUUUGUCGUUAGGCGCCUGUAAUCCCUGACAACCUUUUGAAAAAUGUAAAUAGUUAAUUGUCUGCUAUGCAAAUACAA